UGUCCGCCGCCGGGGUCGUGGCCGUCAGUUCUUGGUGGAUUGGGAGGGUUACGGUCCGGAGGAGCGCUCUUGGGUCUCCCGCUCCCUCAUUCUGGACCGUUCCCUCAUUGACGACUUCUUUCACGCUCACCCGGAUCGGCGUCCCGGACCGCCUGGAGGCGGUCGUUGAGGGGGGGGUACUGUCAUGGUGCCUGUCGGGCUCCUCCCCCUCCAACACUGCCAGCCAUGCUUUCUAAUCAUCUCCAGCUGACACCACUCAUCUCAUCUACCUGCUGCUUAAAAGGAGACCCAACGCAUCAGUUCAACGCCAGUUCGUUAACCUCUAUGGAAACCCUCGUCACGACACGAGAGACGUCAGUAGGAGCCUCGGAUCCCUCCACAGCAGCCCACCGGACCACGUCUUCCACGCGGACCGCGUCCGUACCUCCAGCCUCGCCACUAGCCACAGCUGCCUCGGAACCGACGUCAACACCUCAGUACUCCCAGGAAUCAAAAUAAACUUCUGCUUACCUGUCA